rnacentral:sRNA from 1 species
UUCUAGUCCCGAUCGAAAUGGAAAUCCUUUUUUUGUGCAUUUAACAAAAAAAGAUUGGAAAGAAGAGCGGGCAGAGUU